rnacentral:rRNA from 1 species
AAAUUGACGGGACCCCGCACAAGCAGCGGAGCGUGUGGUUUAAUUCGAGGCUACACGAAGGACCUUACCAGGGUUUGACAUGCAAGUGGUAGGAAUCCGAAAGGUGACCGACCCUUCGGGGAGCUUGCACAGGUGCUGCAUGGCUGUCGUCAGCUCGUGUCGUGAGAUGUUCGGUUAAGUCCGCUAACGAGCGCAACCCUCGUCGUGUGUUAUACGUGUCACACGAUACUGCCGGUAUCAAGCCGGAGGAAGGUGGGGAUGAUGUCAAGUCAGCAUGGCCUUUAUAUCCUGGGCUACACACACGCUACAAUGGCAGAUACAAUAGGUUGCGAAACCGCGAGGUGGAGCCAAUCCUCAAAGUCUGUCUCAGUUCAGAUUGUAGGCUGCAACCCGCCUGCAUGAAGAUGAAGUUGCUAGUAACCGCAGGUCAGCUAUACUGCGGUGAAUACGUUCCCGGGGCUU